rnacentral:sRNA from 1 species
CACUAGGGAACGCAGGCUAAAUUCGUGCCGUCCUAGCGGCAGGCUCAAAGAAGCGCAACGCCUGCAUGGCCCACAUCCUGCAGG